rnacentral:rRNA from 1 species
ACGGGUGAGUAAUACAUCGGAACGUAUCCUGGAGUGGGGGAUAGCCCGGCGAAAGCCGGAUUAAUACCGCAUACGCUCUGAGGAGGAAAGCGGGGGACCUUCGGGCCUCGCGCUCAAGGGGCGGCCGAUGGCGGAUUAGGUAGUUGGUGGGGUAAAGGCCUACCAAGCCGACGAUCCGUAGCUGGUCUGAGAGGACGACCAGCCACACUGGGACUGAGACACGGCCCAGACUCCUACGGGAGGCAGCAGUGGGGAAUUUUGGACAAUGGGGGCAACCCUGAUCCAGCAAUGCCGCGUGUGUGAAGAAGGCCUUCGGGUUGUAAAGCACUUUUGUCCGGAAAGAAAUCAUCGGGGCCAAUACCCCUGGUGGAUGACGGUACCGGAAGAAUAAGCACCGGCUAACUACGUGCCAGCAGCCGCGGUAAUACGUAGGGCGCGAGCGUUAAUCGGAAUUACUGGGCGUAAAGCGUGCGCAGGCGGUGCUGUAAGACCGAUGUGAAAUCCCCGGGCUUAACCUGGGAACUGCAUUGGUGACUGCAGCGCUGGAGUAUGGCAGAGGGGGGUGGAAUUCCACGU